rnacentral:rRNA from 1 species
UGCGCAGGCGGUUUUGCAAGUCUGAUGUGAAAGCCCCGGGCUUAACCUGGGAACGGCAUUGGAGACUGCAAGACUAGAGUGCGUCAGAGGGGGGUAGGAUUCCACGUGUAGCAGUGAAAUGCGUAGAGAUGUGGAGGAAUACCGAUGGCGAAGGCAGCCCCCUGGGAUGACACUGACGCUCAUGCACGAAAGCGUGGGGAGCAAACAGGAUUAGAUACCCUGGUAGUCCACGCCCUAAACGAUGUCAAUUAGCUGUUGGGGGUUUGAAUCCUUGGUAGCGAAGCUAACGCGUGAAAUUGACCGCCUGGGGAGUACGGCCGCAAGGUUAAA